UGGUUCUGGCAUCGACGAAGAACGCAGCGAAAUGCGAUAAGUAAUGUGAAUUGCAGAAUUCAGUGAAUCAUCGAAUCUUUGAACGCACAUUGCGCUCGCUAGUAUUCUGGCGAGCAUGCCUGUUCGAGCGUCAUUUCAACCCCUCAAGCCUCUUUAUUUUAUUAUAAAAAGCUUGGUGUUAGGCCCUAUAAAUCUCUCUUAAAAAAAGAAAUUUGUAGACCUGAAAUCCAUCGGCGAACCCCUCUGCGAGGCCGAGCGUAGUAGAUUUCUCUCGCUAUGACUUCCAGUGGUGGACCUGCCCCAUCUUAAUUUUAUAUAAAAGGUUGACCUCGAAUCAGGUAGGAAUACCCGCUGA
rnacentral:misc_RNA from 1 species